rnacentral:rRNA from 1 species
AACGAACGCUGGCGGCAUGCCUAACACAUGCAAGUCGAACGAGACCUUCGGGUCUAGUGGCGCACGGGUGCGUCACGCGUGGGAACCUGCCCUUAGGUUCGGAAUAACUCCCCGACAGGGGUGCUAAUACCGGAUAAUUUCUUCUGACCAAAGAUUUAUCGCCUUUGGAUGGGCCCGCGUUGGAUUAGCUAGUUGGUAGGGUAAAAGCCUACCAAGGCGACGAUCCAUAGCUGGGCAGAGAGGAUGAUCAGCCACACUGGGACUGAGACACGGCCCAGACUCCUGCGGGAGGCAGCAGUGGGGAAUAUUGGACAAUGGGCGAAAGCCUGAUCCAGCAAUGCCGCGUGAGUGAUGAAGGCCUUAGGGUUGUAAAGCUCUUUUACCCGGGAUGAUAAUGACAGUACCGGGAGAAUAAGCUCCGGCUAACUCCGUG